GCAUCCGUAGCUCAGCUGGAUAGGUACUCGGCUACGAACCGAAACGCGGUCGGAGGUUCGGGCCUCCGGAUGCA
rnacentral:tRNA from 1 species